AGCGCUGACUCACCGCUCCACGCCUUCCUGGUCCUUAAUGAUUGGCGGCUGGAAGCGGGAAGAAAAGAUCCGUGGUGCCAUUUGAUUGGCCAACGAAUUGCUCCCUUGCCAUUGGCUCAGAGGGCUUUUGAUGAACAGAUCCAGAAAAUAUGUGAAGCGAAACGCCCACCGCCCCUUGAGGGGCUGUUCUAGACCUUUGCUCCUGGUGUCGUAUAGAGCGGGGGAUAUUUCAAGCUGGAGAUCCGUUUUCUUGUCCCAGUGAACAGGUGCACUAUGUUGAAAUAAGAGUGGUGACGGAGGCCUUGUUUAUCUUGUAUCUUAUUGUAAAAGGUCAUCAAGAACCCACCUUGGCCAAUCAAGAGAGGAGUCAGCUGGCUAAUCACCGGGCAGGCACCGCCUUUUUCUUCCCGCUGCCUAGCUUGUUUGCUUUCGACCAGCCAAGGAGACCUGGUGGCAGGGUUGAUCUCAUAUUUCUUGUGCCUCAAAAUCCCUUCUCUGAAGUCUGCCUUCCCUGGAGAAGCAAGAUGGCAGAAUCGGAUUCUACUGACUUUGACCUGCUGUGGUAUCUAGAGAAUCUCAGUGACAAGGAAUUUCAGAGUUUUAAGAAGUAUCUGGCACGCAAGAUUCUUGAUUUCAAACUGCCACAGUUUCCACUGAUACAGAUGACAAAAGAAGAACUGGCUAACGUGUUGCCAAUCUCUUAUGAGGGACAGUAUAUAUGGAAUAUGCUCUUCAGCAUAUUUUCAAUGAUGCGUAAGGAAGAUCUUUGUAGGAAGAUCAUUGGCAGACGAAACCGCAAUCAGGAGGCAUGCAAAGCUGUCAUGAGGAGAAAAUUCAUGCUGCAAUGGGAAAGUCACACUUUUGGAAAAUUUCAUUAUAAAUUUUUUCGUGACGUUUCGUCAGAUGUGUUCUACAUACUUCAAUUAGCCUAUGAUUCUACCAGCUAUUAUUCAGCAAACAAUCUCAAUGUGUUCCUGAUGGGAGAGAGAGCAUCUGGAAAAACUAUUGUUAUAAAUCUGGCUGUGUUGAGGUGGAUCAAGGGUGAGAUGUGGCAGAACAUGAUCUCGUACGUCGUUCACCUCACUGCUCACGAAAUAAACCAGAUGACCAACAGCAGCUUGGCUGAGCUAAUCGCCAAGGACUGGCCUGACGGCCAGGCUCCCAUUGCAGACAUCCUGUCUGAUCCCAAGAAACUCCUUUUCAUCCUCGAGGACUUGGACAACAUAAGAUUCGAGUUAAAUGUCAAUGAAAGUGCUUUGUGUAGUAACAGCACCCAGAAAGUUCCCAUUCCAGUUCUCCUGGUCAGUUUGCUGAAGAGAAAAAUGGCUCCAGGCUGCUGGUUCCUCAUCUCCUCAAGGCCCACACGUGGGAAUAAUGUAAAAACGUUCUUGAAAGAGGUAGAUUGCUGCACGACCUUGCAGCUGUCGAAUGGGAAGAGGGAGAUAUAUUUUAACUCUUUCUUUAAAGACCGCCAGAGGGCGUCGGCAGCCCUCCAGCUUGUACAUGAGGAUGAAAUACUCGUGGGUCUGUGCCGAGUCGCCAUCUUAUGCUGGAUCACGUGUACUGUCCUGAAGCGGCAGAUGGACAAGGGGCGUGACUUCCAGCUCUGCUGCCAAACACCCACUGAUCUACAUGCCCACUUUCUUGCUGAUGCGUUGACAUCAGAGGCUGGACUUACUGCCAAUCAGUAUCACCUAGGUCUCCUAAAACGUCUGUGUUUGCUGGCUGCAGGAGGACUGUUUCUGAGCACCCUGAAUUUCAGUGGUGAAGACCUCAGAUGUGUUGGGUUUACUGAGGCUGAUGUCUCUGUGUUGCAGGCCGCGAAUAUUCUUUUGCCGAGCAACACUCAUAAAGACCGUUACAAGUUCAUACACUUGAACGUCCAGGAGUUUUGUACAGCCAUUGCAUUUCUGAUGGCAGUACCCAACUAUCUGAUCCCCUCAGGCAGCAGAGAGUAUAAAGAGAAGAGAGAACAAUACUCUGACUUUAAUCAAGUGUUUACUUUCAUUUUUGGUCUUCUAAAUGCAAACAGGAGAAAGAUUCUUGAGACAUCCUUUGGAUACCAGCUACCGAUGGUAGACAGCUUCAAGUGGUACUCGGUGGGAUACAUGAAACAUUUGGACCGUGACCCGGAAAAGUUGACGCACCAUAUGCCUUUGUUUUACUGUCUCUAUGAGAAUCGGGAAGAAGAAUUUGUGAAGACGAUUGUGGAUGCUCUCAUGGAGGUUACAGUUUACCUUCAAUCAGACAAGGAUAUGAUGGUCUCAUUAUACUGUCUGGAUUACUGCUGUCACCUGAGGACACUUAAGUUGAGUGUUCAGCGCAUCUUUCAAAACAAAGAGCCACUUAUAAGGCCAACUGCUAGUCAAAUGAAGAGCCUUGUCUACUGGAGAGAGAUCUGCUCUCUUUUUUAUACAAUGGAGAGCCUCCGGGAGCUGCAUAUCUUUGACAAUGACCUUAAUGGUAUUUCAGAAAGGAUUCUGUCUAAAGCCCUGGAGCAUUCUAGCUGUAAACUUCGCACACUCAAGUUGUCCUAUGUCUCGACUGCUUCUGGUUUUGAAGACUUACUCAAGGCUUUGGCUCGUAAUCGGAGCCUGACAUACCUGAGUAUCAACUGUACGUCCAUUUCCCUAAAUAUGUUUUCACUUCUGCAUGACAUCCUGCACGAGCCCACAUGCCAAAUAAGUCAUCUGAGGCCCUCAACGGCUUUCACUUUCAUUCCAAAUAGAAUACACAGGCCAACGCGACGGCUCACGCCUGGAAUCCCAACACUUUGGGAGGCCGAGGCGGGCAGAUCACCUGAGCUUGAUGAAAUGUGAUUUGCGAGCCAGCGAAUGUGAAGAAAUCGCCUCUCUCCUCAUCAGUGGCGGGAGUCUGAGAAAACUGACCUUAUCCAGCAAUCCGCUGAGGAGCGACGGGAUGAACAUACUGUGUGAUGCCUUGCUUCAUCCCAACUGCACUCUUAUAUCACUGGUGUUAGUCUUCUGCUGUCUCACUGAAAAUUGCUGCAGCGCCCUUGGAAGAGUGCUUCUGUUCAGCCCAACUCUAAGACAACUAGACCUGUGUGUGAAUCGCUUAAAAAAUUACGGAGUGUUGCAUGUGACGUUUCCCUUGCUGUUUCCAACCUGUCAGUUAGAGGAGCUUCAUCUGUCUGGCUGUUUCUUUAGCAGCGAUAUCUGUCAAUAUAUUGCCAUAGUUAUUGCUACUAAUGAAAAACUGAGGAGCCUGGAGAUUGGGAGCAACAAAAUAGAAGAUGCAGGAAUGCAGCUGCUAUGUGGUGGUUUGAGACAUCCCAACUGCAUGUUGGUGAAUAUUGGGCUAGAAGAGUGCAUGUUAACCAGUGCCUGCUGUCGAUCUCUUGCCUCUGUUCUUACCACCAACAAAACACUAGAAAGACUCAACUUGCUUCAAAAUCACUUGGGCAAUGAUGGAGUUGCAAAACUUCUUGAGAGCUUGAUCAGCCCAGAUUGUGUACUUAAGGUAGUUGGGCUUCCAUUAACUGGCCUGAACACACAAACCCAGCAGUUGCUGAUGACUGUAAAGGAAAGAAAACCCAGUUUGAUCUUUCUGUCUGAAACUUGGUCUUUAAAGGAAGGCAGAGAAAUUGGUGUGACACCUGCUUCUCAGCCAGGUUCAAUAAUACCUAAUUCUAAUUUGGAUUACAUGUUUUUCAAAUUUCCCAGAAUGUCUGCAGCCAUGAGAACGUCAAAUACAGCAUCUAGGCAACCCCUUUGAUCAUGUUGUACGUAAACAGUAUUUAUUAUAAAUUACUACCGUGACUGGGAUGCAAGAGAAUUAGGACUAUAAUUUUCCUAUUUGAUGUGUGUGUGUGUGUGUGUGUGUGUGUGUGUGUGUGUGUGUGUGUGACCUUGAUCCAGUCAACCACUUCAAAUUCCUACACUGUCUCAAGAGUAUUAAAAGGAUUAUAUGAAGUAAUAAAGGAUAAAAUGCAUUGGAAAAA